GAUGAACGCUGGCGGCGUGCCUAAUACAUGCAAGUCGAGCGAACAGACGAGGCGCUUGCUCCUCUGACGUUAGCGGCGGACGGGUGAGUAACACGUGGAUAACCUACCUAUAAGACUGGGAUAACUUCGGGAAACCGGAGCUAAUACCGGAUAAUAUCUUGAACCGCAUGGUUCAAUAGUGAAUGACGGUUUUGCUGUCACUUAUAGCUGGAUCCGCGCCGCAUUAGCUAGUUGUUAAGGUAACGGCUUACCAAGGCAACGAUGCGUAGCCGACCUGAGAGGGUGAUAGGACACACUGGAACUGAGACACGGUCAAGACUCCUAAGGGAGGCAGCAGUAGGGAAUCUUCCGCAAUGGGCGAAAGCAUGACGGAGCAACGCCGCGUGAGUGAUGAAGGUCUUCGGAUCGUAAAACUCUGUUAUUAGGGAAGAACAAAUGUGUAAGUAACUAUGCACGUCUUGACGGUACCUAAUCAGAAAGCCACGGCUAACUACGUG
rnacentral:rRNA from 1 species